rnacentral:rRNA from 1 species
AUGGCUACAGGGCCGCUGGAACUGUGGAGCCACCAGUCGAUGCAGAUCCUGGUCCUCCUCAGCCUCGGGCUCCAGCUCGUCCUGUUCGUCUUCGCUGGGGUCCGCCGGCGUGAAGCCCUCUUGCCAAGGUUCUUUCUGUGGCUAGCUUACCUCAUGGCCGACUCCACCGUCGUGUACGCCGUUGGCCACAUGUCAUUCAGCAGCGCCGUGCGGCGCCACCAGCUCGUUGCGUUCUGGGCGCCGUUCCUGCUUCUGCACCUCGGCGGCCCGGAUAACAUCACCGCGUACGCAUUCCAGGACAACCAGCUCUGGCUCCGCCACCUCCAGAUCCUCGUCGUGCAGGUCCUUGAAGCAGCCUACGUCCUCUACAAGCACAUCGCCUUCGCCGGCGGCGGGGAGAACGGGGACUUGCUUCGGAUCGCCUCCUUCCUGAUGUUUGCGGUAGGCGUCGACAAGUACGGCGAGAGGACGUGGGCGCUCAAGUGCAGCACCCUGGAGAGCAUCCGCGCCUCCAUCAAGACGCAGCCGCCGGCCAUACACAAUCAUUUCCACCCUCAGGACCAUGCCACGGAUGAGGAGUUCCACUUGCGACGAGCACACACGCUGUUCCACGUCUGCAAGUUCACCAUCGUCGAUUCAUCGGUGGUCGAGCUUGAGGAUGACUCCAUUUACGGACUGCAGGUGUACACCAGGAAGUUUUUACAAGGCGUCGAGCUGUGGACGCUGAUGGAGAUCGAGCUCUCCCUCAUGUACGACCUGCUCUACACCAAGGCGGCCGUGGUCCACACCUUCUUCGGCUACCUCGUCCGCGUCGUCUCGCCUCUUACCGUAACCACCUCGCUGCUCCUGUUCCAGUUCAACUCCAAGGACGGCCACACCAGAGUCGUGAUCACAAUCACAUACGUCCUGCUGGGUGGCGCCGUGUUCAUGGAGACGACGUCGCUCCUGAACGCGUUGGCAUCGUCUUGGAUGUUCGCGUUCCUGAGCGCCACCAGAUGGAGCUGGCUCCGGUACACCACUCUGUGCAACGAGAGAUGGGACAGGCUCCGGCACGCAGUUGUGUGGCUUCACCAUCUCGUCCAGGGUGAUAGCUGGUACAAGUCAAGAAGGUGGUCCUACACCAUCGGGCAGUACAACUUGCUGCACUUCUGCACGCGCCCCGCCGACACGCUGCUCAGUAGGCUGGCCAGGGUGCUGGGACUCAACGAGUGGUGGAACAGGAAGCACUACUCGGCAACCGUGGAGAUGACCGAUCCGAUCAGGCGUCGUAUCUCUGUGUACAUGAGCCGGCUGUACACCAAGGGGAAGUUCAACACUGGCAUGCUGAGGAAGAAGUGGGGCGAGUAUCCUCUAGACCGCCGUGGACUACUUUACCACAAAGGCGUCCUCGAGGACUGCCUCGGCGUCGAGUUCCAGGAGGGCAUCAUCAUCUGGCACAUCGCCACCGAGGUGUUCCUCACCAAGAGCGAAAGAGCCAAGGCUGGGGACGCCGCGCCUGACGUGCAUACCAUCAGGGUCAUGUCCGACUACAUGAUGUUCCUCCUGGUGGAACGUCCCUACAUGCUGCCGGGCCAGUCCCAAAAAAGGUUGUACGAACGGACCUGCGAGAGGCUGGUCACCAUGGGAUCGGCUCAUCCUAGGUACCCUAGCCGUAAAUGCGUCUUCAAGGACCUGUUCCGUCUACAUGAUGCCCCGCAUUCCAGUAUUUCUAGGGUCGCCGAGAGGGAGGAGCUCGUCAACAAAUUGUACCAUGAGUACAAGAACAGGGAGAUCAAUCCCCUUGCUCCUCGUCUCGCUCACAUGGCUCGGCUCGCCAAGGAGCUGCUAGAGAAGGAGAAGGAUGGCACGGUCGACUCCUUGGAGCUUGUCCUUGACGUGUGGAUGGACAUUCUCGUCUACGCCAGCAACAAGUGCACCAGGGAGUCCCAUGCCCAGAAGCUCAACAGUGGUGGUGAGGUGACGACCGUCUUGUGGCUUAUGGCAGAAUACAUCUACCAAGCAUCGAUUUCCCAAAGAGACGAUGUAGUAUAA